GUUUUGUUUAUAAUUAGUGGAGAUGAAAAUAAUGAAACUUUAUGGUGCAGAAAGUGGCUUUUUCAUUACAGUUUCUGGGUGCUGGGCAACGGUAGAUCACUAUGGCUUCUAUACCGUGAAAUGAAGCUUAUGAUGAAAUACUGAUGUUUGGCCAAUCUCACCCACGAGAUAUAAUAAGAACUGAUGCAGGUUUAUAACUACAUGUAUUGUAUCCGGAACAAAGUUAGUACGUCUUUUAUACCGAAGUUGGAUUUUUCUCCAGAUACAGGCAACUUACCCAACUUCGAAAGUAGUGCGCUGGAUUCGCCUAAAGAUGCGCUAAACAACGCAUCAAUUAGUUUGACAGAUAAAACUUUGGAAGAAAGUUCGGUUUGGAAGUCCCGACAGCAAAGCGAGGUAAAAUGAGUGAAAAUGUAGUUUAAACUGAUUUAAAAUUAAAUUGAAAA